rnacentral:rRNA from 2 species
UACAGAGGGGGCAAGCGUUAUUCGGAAUUAUUGGGCGUAAAGGGCGCGUAGGCGGUCGUUCAAGUGGUAGGUGAAAUCCCUCGGCUCAACCGAGGAGCUGCCCGCCAAACUGAAUGACUUGAGUCCGGGAGAGGUAAGUGGAAUUCCCAGUGUAGCGGUGAAAUGCGUAGAUAUUGGGAGGAACACCAGUGGCGAAGGCGGCUUACUGGACCGGCACUGACGCUGAGGCGCGAAAGCGUGGGGAGCAAACGGG